CAUUAUCUAGGCAGAGCAUAUGUUGUGGUUGUUUUGCUCGGUGUUAUCAGAGUGGGAGACCUGCUCUCAAAAAUGGUUAAAAGGAUUGCUGCCCCAAAUGACGCACAGUAGAUUUCUGUGUUGGAGUUUCUGUGAGCAAUCUCCAUGGUUAGCCAGUGCUGCACCUGAACUUGGGAGAGAAAGGAGCCUCUAGCUGAGACUGGCAUGUGCUCCAUUCUCUGUAGUGAAUGGACUGUGAGGUCACUGAGACUGAGCUGAGGUGAAAGGAUGCAGACAGCCUAUGACACUGUAGAGAAAUUCUAAAAGAUCUGGAAAGCCAAGGCAUAGAGCCAUUUCAGCAGGACCUGAGUGCCACACGCUGAAGCCACCCUGUCCCUGAAGCAGGGUGAGAACCAGUCACUCUGGAUUAUUUGGGCUGUGCUGCAGAGGUCACCUGGCCUACCUUUGCAUCUUUGCUGCUGGUGAACUGAUGCGGAACAGAUCCAGGACACCCAGUCUGAACACUGCAGAGGGCGGAGCCCUGGCCCAAGCCCAAUUUACCUCUGCUCUUCUUGAAGCAAAUUCAUACGUGCCUGUUGACGCAUUUAUUCUUUCAACAGUGACUUAUGGAGCAUGUUUUAUGUGCCAAGGGAGUACUCCGGUGGUGUUUUUGAAGGUCAGGGAGCAUGGACAGCAUUGUAGACCACAGGUUCAGAAUUUAACAAAAGCUGGGCAAUGGGUUUAGGGGAAAUUGCCAAGAAGUGACCUACAGGCUGUUCUGAUUUUAAAAUUUGUAUAAAUCUGCAAGUAAGUCGGGUGGAAAAGGGGGAUGGUUUCGAGAGAAUGUUCUGAGUGUGCAGUACAGUCCGGGUUGGGUUCUGAGCUGAAGGGGGAGGAAGAUGGCAGGACUGAGAGGUGAGGAAGACAUGCCAUCCUCUGCUUGGCUCCACUCCCUGUUGCUGACCUUGGAGGAGAGAUGAGCUUCCCCUGAGGUUUCUCUCACCUGGAUUUCAGAGCAGGGGUUUGACCCUUGCUGCUCCCUCACCAAACUGAUUCUGACUUCAAUUAGCCAUUGAAAGCAACCAAUAAAGAGGAAUUAACAGUAGAA